UCCUACGGGGGGCAGCAGUGGGGAGUAUUGCACAAUGGGCGAAAGCCUGAUGCAGCGACGCCGCGUGAAGGAUGAAGUAUUUCGGUAUGUAAACUUCUAUCAGCAGGGAAGAAAAUGACGGUACCUGACUAAGAAGCCCCGGCUAACUACGUGCCAGCAGCCGCGGUAAUACGUAGGGGGCAAGCGUUAUCCGGAUUUACUGGGUGUAAAGGGAGCGUAGACGGCGAUGCAAGCCAGAUGUGAAAGCCCGGGGCCCAACCCCGGGACUGCAUUUGGAACUGUGUGGCUGGAGUGUCGGAGAGGCA
rnacentral:rRNA from 1 species